rnacentral:rRNA from 1 species
AGCAGCAGCCACGGUAAUACGGAGGGUGCAAGCGUUAUCCGGAUUUAUUGGGUUUAAAGGGUCCGUAGGCGGAUCUGUAAGUCAGUGGUGAAAUCUUACAGCUUAACUGUGAAACUGCCAUUGAUACUGCAGGUCUUGAGUAAAUUUGAAGUGGCUGGAAUAAGUAGUGUAGCGGUGAAAUGCAUAGAUAUUACUUAGAACACCAAUUGCGAAGGCAGGUCACUAAGAUUUAACUGACGCUGAUGGACGAAAGCGUGGGGAGCGAACAGGAUUAGAUACCCCGGUAGUCCCUGUCUCUUAUAU